GUUGGGGUGAGGGUAGGAAAAAUAGCAGUAGGAGGGCUCUGGAAUGUUGGGGGAGUGGUCAUGAGGAAAACCAGAAAUUGGCCUUUCUCUUUUAUAAACCAUCAGAACCAUUGUAACUAAUAUGAAAUGAAGACAUUAUUCUUAUUCUGCACCCAGCCCCAAUGAACUUUUUAAGUAAUUGUUUUGUAAGCAAUUUUUGUAUUUGCAAAAGUCUUUGCUUUCUCUUCCCACUUUCUUAAAAGAAGUCUAUUAUUUCCUUACUGGAUACAGCCAUAGUAAGCCCCUCUUGUGAUCCACCUUGAGGGGUUCAGAACUCCCUCAGGAAGGUCAUCACAUCAUUUACCUGCUGUUUCUCUGCAGAAUUUUUGUCUCUCAGACCCAGGGGAAGUUGGCUUUGUCGUUUCUCUACGAAAGACCCCCGGAUCUGAGACCAGGAGAGAUUUUGAUUGUGUAAUCCACGUUUUUCUAUACACUGUUCUGUAGCUCUUUUAGUUUAAGCCAGCAGAAGUUGCCAGUGUUCCCCUUGUUCUGAGUCUACAGAGUUGCUUCUUGAAGCAAGUUGGACUCAUGAGUCAUGGCUUUUUGUGUCUUUAGCAACACAGAACAGCCUUUGGGCUACAGCAGCAGAGCACUCCAUGGACUCCUUCCAGUAUCUUAGGACAAACAUCAAGUAAUUAAUUUUUUUCCGUAUUCACAUGCAAGCAUUAGUUCAGGAGUCUGUAAGUCGGAAGGAGCUUUUGAGUUUGCUUUUGUAAAAACUGGGGAGGAGGGACUUGUAGAUAAAUUGAUCCAAGACUAAAAUGGUCCCUUAGAGUUGUUGCUGUUGGCAAAGGCAGUAGUGUGACCUGUCCCCCCACCCCACACCCCCUAACACUGCUCCUCUACUGGUUGGAGCAGCUAAAGGGACAGAAUCAAUGAGGAUGAAAGACAUUUGCUCAGUUUUAUCUGAGGUUUAAUUAAGCCUUCAGAGAAGCUGUUGCGGCCACCACUUGUGUCUCUAAACCAUGGACACAUUUGUGCUUUUUUCCAGUUUAUUUUCUGGGAUAUUGAGCAGGAAAUAACUAUAAAGUCACUGGGAUAUGCUUUCUAAAUGCUGGUUCCCUUGGGUCAUGGAACAGGGCACCUUUCCACCUCCUCUGCCUGGUCUCUCAUGCAUAUUCUGUGUGAGGAAGGUGCAGUGUGAAAUCUGUUCUCUGUGCGGUGUGUAUUCUCAUUGCCCCUACCACCCUAUAUUGAAGUCUCUAAAUAUGCAGGACCCAGCCUGCUUCUGAGAUGGCCUCAGACCCUCCUCCUCAUGCCAGGAAUUCUUGGUUCAAGUGGCAUAAGAUCUUCCAAAACCAAAUCUUGAGCUCCCUAGGAAAUGAUGCUGCCACUAAAAUUUGGUCUUGGUCAGCUUUGUCUGCUGUUUCUACUAUAUGAAAGCAAAUUGUGACUGAAAAGAUUGGUAUAUUUUUUUUUCUAAGAAACAUGAAUUGAUUUCACUGAAAAGUUGAAGCUUCUGGAAACUGUUCACAGUGUAUUGUUUCUAACCAUCUUGUAUAUGUAAUGAAUUUUUUUCUUUCAUCAUGCCAUAAUAGAAAACUUGUCUUAAUCAGUGCCAGAGUGAUAUGAAAUAACAUGACAUGUCAGAAUGAUAUGCAACAGUGUGACUGUUUAUGUUCUGUGAACAGUGAUAUUUGAUUGAGGUCAAAAUGCGUGUAACAAUCUGCUGUUGGGGCUGUGGGGACAUGCCUGUGUUUUGUGUUAAAGUUGUCCUCUGUACGGAGCACGUUGAGGAUGACGGUGUGUUAGUUUUCCAUGCAGCUGAUAGCGUUGACUCUCUCACAGCGGCAUUUCCGAUCGCACAUGCAUCUGGUAAGCCCGUGUAUUUUGUGAACUCAGCUCUCUGGAGAGAGCAAAGGUUUUAUACACAUGAACAGGCAGUUCCAAGAAUGGAGCUUAAUUUCCUCUGCUGUCCUCACGACUUCCUAUUGCGAACUUUCUUAAGAUUCUGAUGGAGUAAGCAACGAUUAUCUGGUUGCAGAGUCCCUGACGGCUAGGGACAGCAGUGCAGUUUCCAGAAGAGACUGGGAGGAAGGAAAAUCCACUCCCUUUGGCUGGGAGUCACACCAUACUGACCCUGCGACCUGGAGCCGGCCAGACAGCACCCUCAAAACAAGUACGGUUCCCCUUCCCCUACACCUGCUUUGUGAGUAAAUUUAGGUACUUGAAAGCAGUUUUUUGCCCCCUACAAUUGUCAUGAAUGGGUAAAAGAAAUGAUUCAAUGCAAGAGUUCCAAGGGAACAUCUAGUGUGUUUUUCUGAAUAAAAUGAUGUUAGUACUGUAGUAUCGAAUUUCAUGGAAAUAUUAAAGUUUUGGUAAAGCUAUGUAAUGGAAAAUUUCUGUUGGUGACAACAAAUGGAAGGUGCAUUGUGUGCAGAGUUAUUUAAAUAUAUAUUCCAUUGUGUAAUUUUAAUAGUUUUUAAAAUAUGUUAUUUUAUGGGGACAUUUUUGUGGGUUGAUCAACUUGAAUAUUGCUGUUAAGUGUCUAGUCUGGUGGGAUAAACUUUUUAAUUUAAAUUCCUGUUUUCUCAGUCUUGAUAUAACCUGACAGAGUUCACCAAAUGUAGACAUCAUUAACUCAGGUUGCCGUUGCCAUUUCAGAGCAUCUGGAGGAUGCCAGUUCCUUUUUCAUUAUUUGGUCUCUGAUCUCUCAGUCUAAUGCAGAAAUGACUCUGCUCUUCUGGGUGACGAUGAGUCAGUGCACUGACUGGAGGAUCUCUCCCUGUCAGGGUUCAUGAGUGCUGACAGUUUUUAAAAAACAAAUCAGGAAAUCAGCUUCAGAGGUAGUCCAGAAGUGAGGCCAUCUACUGAGCCCUUUCCAAUUACCUCACAGCACAGAGGCCGAAUGUGGCAGAUUUAAGUGGGACAUGAGUUAGGGUGUGAGCCAGGGCCUUCAUCCCACCUGUAAUUUAUGCUUCGCCUUACUUGUCACCUUUUAGAUUUCCUCAGAGAAAUGGGUAUCAUCCCUCUUUAAAAUGAAAAGAGCAAAAUACAGUAACCUAAGGUCAACAAUUUGAGACAAAAAUAUCAAGUACCAUGUUUUCCAGUCACUUGUUUUUGGUAAUAAUAAGGUAAACAUGGAAAAACAAAGUAAAAUAUUAGAAUUUUUAAAGAAACUAUGUACUUAAAAAAAACUGUUUGUAACUCUUCUAUUUUAUUGUAAUCAUGUUCUGUGAAAUGCACCAUCGGUUUGGGUGCUGCCCCUUGCUUUGGAGCAAGCACUGGGGCGCUCAAUGUCUGCAGAGCCCUUUGCGCCUGAAAUGAACUGAGAAUGAAUUUCUGGUACUGUAAUGAAAAUGAGGUCAACACAAUAAACUUUUCC
ensembl:lncRNA